rnacentral:rRNA from 1 species
CAAUGAGGCCGCAGAGAAUCGGUGGCUGCGACUGUUUAUUAAAAACACAGCACUCUGCAAAGACGAAAGUCGACGUAUAGGGUGUGACGCCUGCCCGGUGCUGGAAGAUUAAAUGAUGGGGUGCAAGCUCUUGAUUGAAGUCCCAGUAAACGGCGGCCGUAACAAUAACGGUCCUAAGGUAGCGAAAUUCCUUGUCGGGUAAGUUCCGACCUGCACGAAUGGCGUAACGAUGGCCACACUGUCUCCUCCAGAGACUCAGCGAAGUUGAAAUGUUUGUGAUGAUGCAAUCUCCCCGCGGAAAGACGGAAAGACCCCAUGAACCUUUACUGUAGCUUUACAUUGGACUUUGAACAGAUCUGUGUAGGAUAGGUGGGAGGCUUUGAAGCGGUGCCGCUAGGUGUCGUGGAGCCAACGUUGAAUACCACCCUGGUGUGUUUGUAGGUUCUAACCUUGGCCCGUUAUCCGGGUUGGGGACAGUGUAUGGUAGGCAGUUUGACUGGGGCGGUCUCCUCCAAGCGUAACGGAGGAGGUUCGAAGG